rnacentral:rRNA from 1 species
CCUACGGGUGGCAGCAGUGAGGAAUAUUGGUCAAUGGGCGAGAGCCUGAACCAGCCAAGUCGCGUGAAGGAUGACGGCCCUACGGGUUGUAACCUUCUUUUGUCAGGGAGCAAUUUGUUCCACGCGUAGGCUUAGCGAGAGUCCCUGAAGAAACAGCAUCGGCUAACUCCGUGCCCGCAGCCGCGGUAAUACGGAGGAUGCGAUCGUUAUCCGGAUUUCUUGGGUUUAAAGGGUGCGUAGGAGGAAUAUAAAGUCAGCGGUAAAACUUCGGGGCUCAACCCCGUCGUGCCGUUGAAACUGGUGUGCGUGAGUGGGCGAGAAGUAUGCGGAAUGCGUGGUGGAGCGGUGAAAUGCAGAGAUAUCACGCAGAACUCCGAUUGCGAAGGCAGCAUACCGGCGCCCAACUGACGCUGAAGCACGAAAGCGUGGGUAUCGAACAGGAUUAGAUACCCGGGUAGUC